rnacentral:rRNA from 1 species
GGGAGUAAAGUUUUGUUUAAACCGAAAAAAUAUUGACUGACUUUAGAUUUUUCUUUGGAAUAUGUGUUUUUUUGGAGGGCCCUCUUUUAUAGUGAAUUUUGUUGGCGCAUGUAUGAUUGYUUAGUUUUUACUUUUUUGGUAAUGCUUUGUGUUUUAUACAUWUAAAACAGAUAUAUAUUUGGCUUAUGGAUUUAUUUUUCAUGUGUUACUAUUGUUAAUUUUCUUUGGAUUAAUUUUUAAUUUUUUUGUUGAAAUUGGAAAAGAAAGUAAUUUUUUCUUAA